rnacentral:rRNA from 1 species
ACGGGGGGUGCAAGCGUUGUUCGGAAUUAUUGGGCGUAAAGCGCGCGUAGGCGGAUUGUUAAGUCUGAUGUGAAAGCCUCCGGCUUAACCUGAGAAGUGCCUUGGAAACUGGCAGACUUGAGUAUGGGUGAGGGAAGUGGAAUGCCUGGUGUAGGAGUGAAAUCCGUAGAUAUCAGGAGGAACACCGGUGGCGAAGGCGGCUGCCUGGACCGAUAUUGACGCUGAGGCGCGAAAGCGUGGGUAGCGAACAG